rnacentral:ncRNA from 1 species
AUAUGAAUUUUAUAAAGUUUUAUUUUAGCUUAAUAAUUUAUUAUUAAUUUAAUUUAUAUGUAAAUUUUUAUAUGAAUUUUUAUUUAUUUUAAUAAUAAAUAAAUUAAUUAUAUUCGCAGUAAUUAGUAUUAUUAAUUAAGGAGAUUUAGAUAUAGUAAUAUUAAAUAGUAUUGGCUAAAUUUGUGCCAGCAGCCGCGGUUAUACGAAUAAUGCAAAUAAAUUUUAUUAGUAAAAGUUAAAUUGAUUUUUUUUAAAAUAGAAAUUAAUUUAUUAGGUAAAAUUUUUAAAUUAUUGUUAUUUUUAAUUUAUUAAUUGAAGCUUAAAAAUUUUAAAAAAAAACUAGGAUUAGAUACCCUAUUAUUUAAAAUGUAAUUUAAAAUACUUAGGUAGUAGUAGUUAUGUUCUUGAAACUUAAAAAAUUUGGCGGUAUUUUAGUCUAUUCAGAGGAACCUGUUCUGUAAUCGAUAAUCCACGAUGGACCUUACUUAAAUUUGUAAUUAGUUUAUAUACCGUCGUUAUUAGAAUAUUUUAUAAGAAUGUUAAUUUUCAUAAUUUUUUAUAAGAAAAUAUAUCAGAUCAAGGUGUAGCUUAUGUUUAAGUAGAAAUGGGUUACAAUAAAAUUAUUUAAAUGAAUAUAAAUAUGAAAAAUUUAUUGAAAGUGGAUUUGAUAGUAAAAUUAUAAAGAUUAAUAAUUUGAUUUUAGCUCUAAAAUAUGUACACAUCGCCCGUCACUCUUAUUAUUAAGAUAAGAUAAGUCGUAACAUAGUAGAUGUACUGGAAAGUGUAUCUAGAAUG